rnacentral:tRNA from 1 species
UCCCUGGCAGUCUAGUGGUUAAGACUUCAGCUUUCAACACAGGGGAUGUGGGUUCAAUCCCCAGUCAGGGAG